UGGGGAAUAUUGCACAAUGGGGGAAACCCUGAUGCAGCGACGCCGCGUGAGCGAAGAAGGCUUUCGAGUCGUAAAGCUCUGUCCUAUGAGAAGAUAAUGACGGUAUCAUAGGAGGAAGCCCUGGCUAAAUACGUGCCAGCAGCCGCGGUAAUACGUAUGGGGCGAGCGUUGUCCGGAAUUAUUGGGCGUAAAGGGUACGUAGGCGGUUUUUUAAGUCAGGUGUCAAAGCGUGGAGCUUAACUCCAUUAAGAACGUGAAACUGAAGGGCUUGAGUGAAGGAGAGGAAAGUGGAAGUCCUAGUGUGGGGGUGGGAUGCGUAGGUAUUAGGUGGGAUGCCGGUGGCGGGGGCGACUGUCUGGCGGUGUGCUGGCGGUCAGGUAGGGAAGCGUGGGGAGGGAGCAGG
rnacentral:rRNA from 1 species